GUGAGGAAUAUUGCGCAAUGGAGGAAACUCUGACGCAGCAACGCCGCGUGGGGGAUGAAGCUCUAUGGAGUGUAAACCCCUGUAAGCAGGGACGAAAGGUAUCUAUUCGCAAGGGUAGGUACGUGACGGUACCUGCAGAGUAAGCUCCGGCUAACUCCGUGCCAGCAGCCGCGGUAAUACGGGGGGAGCGAGCGUUGUCCGGAAUUACUGGGCGUAAAGGGCGUGUAGGCGGUUUGAUAAGUCAGAUGUGAAAGGUCCCGGCUUAACCGGGGAAGGUCAUUUGAGACUGUCGGGCUGGAGUGCGAGAGAGGGUAGCGGAAUUCCCAGUGUAGCGGUGAAAUGCGUAGAUAUUGGGAAGAACACCAGUAGCGCAGGCGGCUACCUGGCUCGUAACUGACGCUGAGGCGCGAAAGCGUGGGGAGCAAACAGGAUUAGAAACCCCAGUAGUCC
rnacentral:rRNA from 1 species